rnacentral:rRNA from 1 species
UGGGGAAUAUUGGACAAUGGGCGCAAGCCUGAUCCAGCAAUGCCGCGUGGGUGAAGAAGGUCUUCGGAUUGUAAAGCCCUUUCGGCGGGGACGAUGAUGACGGUACCCGCAGAAGAAGCCCCGGCUAACUUCGUGCCAGCAGCCGCGGUAAUACGAAGGGGGCUAGCGUUGCUCGGAAUUACUGGGCGUAAAGGGGGCGUAGGGGGGCCUGCACGGCAGGCGGGGAAUUCCUGGGGUUUACCUGGGGGC